rnacentral:rRNA from 1 species
UGCGGUUAAAAAGCUCGUAGUUGGAUUUCUGUCGGUGAGUUGCAGUCCGGCCUCUGUGUUAGGUACUUGUUACGCCACCGGCAUCUUCCUGGGGACUGUAUCUGCUCUUCACUGAGUGGUGCAUAAUCCAGGACUUUUACUUUGAGGAAAUAGGAGUGUUUCAAGCAGGCAUGCGCCGUGAACACGUUAGCAUGGAAUAAUAGCAUCGGACCUCGCUCCAAAGCUGUUGGUUUCUUGGAACGAGGUAAAGGUGAAUAGGGAUUGUUGGGGGCAUUCGUAUUUAACUGUCAGAGGUGAAAUUCUUGGAUUUGUUGAAGACGGACUACUGCGAAAGCAUCUGCCAAAGAUGUUCUCAUUGAUCAAGAACGAAAGUUAGGUGAUCGAAGACGAUCAGAUACCGUCCUAGUCUUAACCAUAAACUAUGCCGACUGGAGAUCGGGGGUCGUUAACUUUGUGACGCCCUCUGCAUCUUGAGAGAAAUCAAAGUCUUUGGGUUCCGGGGAGAGUAUGGUCGCAAGGCUGAAAACUUAAAGGAAUUGACGGAAGGGCACCACCCAGGAGUGGAGCC